rnacentral:rRNA from 1 species
GACGAACGCUGGCGGCGUGCUUAACACAUGCAAGUCGAACGGAAAGGCCCUGCUUUUGUGGGGUGCUCGAGUGGCGAACGGGUGAGUAACACGUGAGUAACCUGCCCUUGACUUUGGGAUAACUUCAGGAAACUGGGGCUAAUACCGGAUAGGAGCUCCUGCUGCAUGGUGGGGGUUGGAAAGUUUCGGCGGUUGGGGAUGGACUCGCGGCUUAUCAGCUUGUUGGUGGGGUAGUGGCUACCAAGGGUUUGACGGGGAGCCGGCCUGAGAGGGUGACCGGCCACAUUGGGACUGAGAUACGGCCCAGACUCCUACGGGAGGCAGCAGUGGGGAAUAUUGCACAAUGGGCGGAAGCCUGAUGCAGCACCGCCGCGUGCGGGAUGACGGCCUUCGGGUUGUAAACCGCUUUCGCCUGUGACGAAGCGUGAGUGACGGUAAUGGGUAAAGAAGCACCGGCUAACUACGUG